CAAGUCGAACGAGAGAAGAGAAGCUUGCUUUUCUGAUCUAGUGGCGGACGGGUGAGUAACACGUGAGCAAUCUGCCUUUCAGAGGGGGAUACCGAUUGGAAACGAUCGUUAAUACCGCAUAACAUAAUUGAACCGCAUGAUUUGAUUAUCAAAGAUUUAUCGCUGAAAGAUGAGCUCGCGUCUGAUUAGCUAGUUGGUAAGGUAACGGCUUACCAAGGCGACGAUCAGUAGCCGGACUGAGAGGUUGAUCGGCCACAUUGGGACUGAGACACGGCCCAGACUCCUACGGGAGGCAGCAGUGGGGAAUAUUGCACAAUGGAGGAAACUCUGAUGCAGCGAUGCCGCGUGAGGGAAGAAGGUUUUAGGAUUGUAAACCUCUGUCUUCAGGGACGAAAAAAUGACGGUACCUGAGGAGGAAGCUCCGGCUAACUACGUGCCAGCAGCCGCGGUAAUACGUAGGGAGCGAGCGUUGUCCGGAAUUACUGGGUGUAAAGGGAGCGUAGGCGGGAUCGCAAGUCAGAUGUGAAAACUAUGGGCUUAACCCAUAAACUGCAUUUGAAACUGUGGUUCUUGAGUGAAGUAGAGGUAAGCGGAAUUCCUAGUGUAGCGGUGAAAUGCGUAGAUAUUAGGAGGAACAUCAGUGGCGAAGGCGGCUUACUGGGCUUUAACUGACGCUGAGGCUCGAAAGCGUGGGGAGCAAACAGGAUUAGAUACCCUGGUAGUCCACGCCGUAAACGA
rnacentral:rRNA from 1 species